AGAGUUUGAUCAUGGCUCAGGAUGAACGCUAGCUACAGGCUUAACACAUGCAAGUCGAGGGGAAACGACAUCGAAAGCUUGCUUUUGAUGGGCGUCGACCGGCGCACGGGUGAGUAACGCGUAUCCAACCUGCCCACCACUUGGGGAUAACCUUGCGAAAGUAAGACUAAUACCCAAUGACGUCUCUAGAAGACAUCUGAAGGAGAUUAAAGAUUUAUCGGUGAUGGAUGGGGAUGCGUCUGAUUAGCUUGUUGGGCGGGGUAACGGCCCACCAAGGCGACGAUCAGUAGGGGUUCUGAGAGGAAGGUCCCCCANAUUGGAACUGAGACACGGUCCAAACUCGUACGGGAGCA
rnacentral:rRNA from 1 species